rnacentral:rRNA from 1 species
UACAGAGGUCUCAAGCGUUGUUCGGAUUCAUUGGGCGUAAAGGGUGCGUAGGCGGCGCGGUAAGUCGGGGUGUGAAAUCUUGGAGCUUAACUCCGAAACUGCAUUCGAUACUGCCGUGCUUGAGGACUGGAGAGGAGACUGGAAUUUACGGUGUAGCGGUGAAAUGCGUAGAUAUCGUAAGGAAGACCAGUGGCGAAAGGCGGGGUCUC